rnacentral:lncRNA from 1 species
CUCCAGCUCCCAGAGAAGAGUAAGGUAAGUCGACUGGAGAGCGUCUCCCAUGACGCAGUGCACUGAAGACUCCAGGAUAAGUAGACCUAAGCUAUGUCGACUCCAGCUACGUUAUUCAUGUAACUUAGGUUGACUUACCUCGGUAGUGAAGACAAGCCCUAAGAGGUAACUGGGGUAAUUAAAAUUUGCAUAGUGGUUUCCAAAUAAGAUUUCAUAGUAAUUUCUGCUCUUCACCUCUGAGGUAUGUGUGGCACUUGCUUUUUCUUUUGUAGGAGUGUCAAUAAUUCAUUGAAAGAUAUUGAAAGUGCACAGAAGUGUGUACAACUAUACAAUUGUGUAUGCAGGUAACCCACUGGUCAUUUGCAUACAUACACAAUAUUAUCUCAGUACAGUUCCUGUUUUCCUCUUGCUCUGGAUUUAUAAAAGAAAUUAGUCUGACAACUUACACCCCAAGUCUUUUGAUACUGAGUCUGCAAAUUGCCUUUGAAAAUUAACAUUGUAUUUCUAAGACUGCAUGCAGUAAGGCUGAAAUGUAGCACAGCACAGCAACUUUAAUGUGUCUCAUUUACAGUACCUGACAUAAUAUUCUUGUGAAAGAAACUAUGUCAUGAAAAAUCCAUCUACAAAAACUGCAUAACACACACUUUAUUUACUUGGAACUAACAAUUAUUCAAGAUUCUAACUAAUAAUGAAGCCACAUGAUUUCUUCAGUACAGAGGGGGUCUAAAGUUACCACCACUAAAGACCAAAACAAACACUUCCCAAUCCAGCCAUGUGUGUGCAAUGUAGCUAAAUUAUGGUGUUAGAUGGUGCUGAGACCUCCCUACUAAGUAAGAGUAUUUCGAUGAGGAUAGAUGGGUGAGAGAAAGAGAAAGAUUUUGGCUCUUUACCAUUACAAAUAGACUCAAACAGAAAAGACCUCUUAGGUCAUCCAGUGCCUCUCCCUACCAGAGCUGGCAUUGUUCCCUGCACUACAUUUACUGGUGUUUUGUCCAAUCCAGUUUUAAAAGUGCCAAAAUCAUGUAAUGUCCCUUUGGACUCACCUCCUGGUCACUCAACUUUGGCCUGUUUGGAAAGACUGAAAAACUUGCAGGGAGCAACUUUCCUAUACAGAAUAUUUUGUUUUAUUAAUUAAAAUAAUGACAAACUUGAAGCAAAACAACUUCUACUUAACGCCAAUAAAAAUGUAACCCUGUAGCCUGAGGAGUGGAGU